UCAGCUCCUGGGUACUUUCUCUAGU
rnacentral:piRNA from 1 species